rnacentral:rRNA from 1 species
UAGGGAAUCUUCCACAAUGGACGCAAGUCUGAUGGAGCAACGCCGCGUGAGUGAAGAAGUUUUUCGGAUCAUAAAGCUCUGUUGUUGGUGAAGAAGGAUAGAGGCAGUAACUGGUCUUUAUUUGACGGUAAUCAACUAGAAAGUCACGGCUAACUACGUGCCAGCAGCCGCGGUAAUACUUAGGUGGCAAGCGUUGUCCGGAUUUAUUGGGCGUAAAGCGAGCGCAGGCGGAAUGAUAAGUCUGAUGUGAAAGCCGACGGCUCAACCGUGGAACUGCAGCGGAAACGGUCAUUAUUGAGUGCAGAAGAGGAGAGUGGAAUUCCAUGUGUAGCGGUGGAAUGCGUAGAUAUAUGGAAGAACACCAGUGGCGAAGGCGGCAAUCUGGUCUGCAACUGACGCUGAGGCUCGAAAGCAUGGGUAGAGAACAGG